UACAGGGGGUGCAAACGUUGCUCGGAAUCAUUGGGCGUAAAGCGCACGUAGGCGGUUCGUUAUGUCGGAUGUGAAAGCCCUUGGCUUAACCGAGGAAGUGCAUCCGAAACUGGCGAGCUAGAGUACGAAAGAGGAUCGCGGAAUUCCCGGUGUAGAGGUGAAAUUCGUAGAUAUCGGGAGGAACACCGGUGGCGAAGGCGGCGAUCUGGGCAGAUACUGACGCUGAGGUGCGAAAGCGUGGGGAGCAAACAGG
rnacentral:rRNA from 1 species